rnacentral:rRNA from 1 species
GUGGGGAAUAUUGGACAAUGGGCGAAAGCCUGAUCCAGCCAUGCCGCGUGUGUGAAGAAGGUCUUCGGAUUGUAAAGCACUUUAAGUUGGGAGGAAGGGCAGUAAGUUAAUACCUUGCUGUUUUGACGUUACCGACAGAAUAAGCACCGGCUAACUUCGUGCCAGCAGCCGCGGUAAUACGAAGGGUGCAAGCGUUAAUCGGAAUUACUGGGCGUAAAGCGCGCGUAGGUGGUUUUGUAAGUUGGAGGUGAAAUCCCCGGGCUCAACCUGGGAACUGCCUCCAAAACUGCAUGACUAGAGUACGGUAGAGGGUAGUGGAAUUUCCUGUGUAGCGGUGAAAUGCGUAGAUAUAGGAAGGAACACCAGUGGCGAAGGCGACUACCUGGACUGAUACUGACACUGAGGUGUGAAAGCGUGGGGAGCAAACAGGAUUAGAAACCCGGGUAGUCC